CGAAAGCCUGACGGAGCAAGACCGCGUGGGGGAUGAAGGCUCUUGGGUUGUAAACCCCUUUUCUCAGGGAAGAAGAACUGACGGUACCUGAGGAAUCAGCAUCGGCUAACUCCGUGCCAGCAGCCGCGGUAAUACGGAGGAUGCAAGCGUUAUCCGGAAUUAUUGGGCGUAAAGCGUCCGUAGGUGGCUAAGCAAGUCUGCUGUUAAGGCGUGCAGCUCAACUGCAUAUAGGCAGUGGAAACUGUUGAACUAGAGUAUGGUAGGGGUAGGGGGAAUUCCCAGUGUAGCGGUGAAAUGCGUAGAGAUUGGGAAGAACACCGGUGGCGAAAGCGCCCUACUGGGCCAUAACUGACACUGAGGGACGAAAGCUAGGGGAGCG
rnacentral:rRNA from 1 species